GUAGGGAAUAUUGCGCAAUGGACGAAAGUCUGACGCAGCGACGCCGCGUGAGUGAUGAAGGCCUUAGGGUCGUAAAGCUCUGUUGAAUGGGAAGAAAAAAAUGACGGUACCAUUCGAGGAAGGACCGGCUAACUUCGUGCCAGCAGCCGCGGUAAUACGAGGGGUCCUAGCGUUGUUCGGAAUCAUUGGGCGUAAAGGGUGUGUAGGUGGCCAUGUAAGUCAGGUGUGAAAGCCCCGGGCUCAACCCGGGAAGUGCACUUGAUACCGCGUGGCUUGAGUACCGAAGAGGGUAGUGGAAUUCCAGGUGUAGUGGUGAAAUACGUAGAUAUCUGGAGGAACACCGGUGGCGAAGGCGGCUACCUGGUCGAGUACUGACACUGAGACACGAAAGCAUGGGGAUCAAACAGGAUUAGAUACCCGGGUAGUCC
rnacentral:rRNA from 1 species